UACGUAGGGGCCUAGCGUUGUCCGGAUUUAUUGGGCGUAAAGAGCUCGUAGGCGGUUCGAUAAGUCGGGUGUGAAACCUCCAGGCUCAACCUGGAGACGCCACCCGAUACUGUCGUGACUAGAGUCCAGUAGGGGAGCGUGGAAUUCCUGGUGUAGCGGUGAAAUGCGCAGAUAUCAGGAGGAACACCAGCGGCGAAGGCGGCGCUCUGGGCUGGCACUGACGCUGAGGAGCGAAAGCGUGGGUAGCGAACAGG
rnacentral:rRNA from 1 species